AACAAUUAAUUAAUAAAAAUGUUGGGCGAUUUCCUAACCAGAUUGCUAGUGUUGGUUUUUGGAUAUGCAUAUCCAGCGUUUGAGUGCUUUAAAAAGGUGGAGAAGAGCAGGGUUGAGAUUGAUGAACUCAGAUUUUGGUGCAAAUAUUGGAUCCUUGUGGCUUUUAUUACUGUUUUGGAGAGGAUAACAGACAUUCAUUUCCUGGUAU